rnacentral:rRNA from 1 species
AAUGAACGCUAGCUACAGGCUUAACACAUGCAAGUCGAGGGGUCUUUUGGGAGCUUGCUUCCAAGAGACGACCGGCGCACGGGUGAGUAACGCGUAUCCAACCUGCCCUUCAUAUUGGGAUAGCCUUCCGAAAGGAAGAUUAGUACCGAAUAACAUGAGAAAGCUGCCUGAUUUUCUCAUGAAAGCUCCGGCGAUGAAGGAUGGGGAUGCGUUCCAUUAGGUAGUAGGCGGGGUAACGGCCCACCUAGCCUACGAUGGAUAGGGGUUCUGAGAGGAAGGUCCCCCACACUGGAACUGAGACACGGUCCAGACUCCUACGGGAGGCAGCAGUGAGGAAUAUUGGUCAAUGGGCGCAAGCCUGAACCAGCCAAGUAGCGUGAAGGAUGACUGCCCUAUGGGUUGUAAACUUCUUUUAUACGGGAACAAACCUUGGUACGCGUACCAAAUUGCGUGUACCGCAUGAAUAAGCAUCGGCUAACUCCGUGCCAGCCGCCGCAGUAAUAC